GCCCGCCUAGCUCAAUCGGAUAGAGCGUCAGACUUUUAAGACCUAGGCGAGGCUCGAACCUGUUCUCAAUGGGAUCUGAAGGCUGCGGGUUCGACCCCCGCGGUGGGCU